CCACCCUGGCCGAGAGAGCGGGGGAGGCAGCUUGGUCACCUCCCCCUAGAGCACCUCUGCCUUCCAAAAGCUGCCCCACCCCUUGCCCAGGCCAAGCUGCAGUCUGACCUUCACUGGCAGCUCUCCUUCCUCCAAAGAAACCCCUGUGGAUCUCAGUGUCCUCAUUUGUGGAGUAAGACCUGUGGGCUAGACACUGUCCAAGGUAGGACUGUCCUUUAUGUGGGCCAUUUGUGUGGGCCAGCCGGUGGCUAAACAGGUGAUUGCAUAUAGUAUAAUGAUAAAAUGUUGAUGUUGGUAUGUUUUAACAGAAGCAGAACUGAAUUUCGAAAAGAAAAGCAAGAAAUCUCAAAUGGUGUUCUAUUUGGAGCAAUCAAGGACCACACUCAAUGACCUAUUAGUAAAUGUAUGUAUGUAUAUUUCCUGAGCCCUGGGUCACUAGAACAAAAGAGAUUGUAUAGUGGGUAUGAGUUAUUCAGUAGUAUACAGCUAUGGGUUUCAAAUGGCCAAAGCAAGGGAACUCUUGUUUCAAUCAAUAUCUCAUACAGGAGCCCAAUUUAUAUAACAUAUACAGAACAUAUGCAAAGGGUAUAUUAUAAGCUGAGAUUAGUAUAAAAUCAGGCGUUGAGACAAAUGAGGCUCUUUUGACCAACCCAGAUCUGUGUAGCAGGGACCAUUGUCACCUUACAUCGGCCUCAGGAUUCCAAUUUUCUUUUGCACGUUGUUUUGGUUGUACAGUAUCAAGACAAUUCUGAUUUGCAUGGGAAGUUAACAAUAUGUGCAGAGAUGGCCGGAGAAACUAGACACUGAAGUCUGCAUUCAAACAAGGAACUGUAGAGCAGGUUAGCGCAUUCAUCUCCUUUGUGAUAAAAUUUGUAUAUAAACACAUUUGGAUAUGUAUGUGUGUGUGUGUUACACUUGAAAAUAUACCAAAAACCAAAAUAAAAAUGAACAUCACCAAUAAUGAGA